rnacentral:tRNA from 1 species
GGUCGGUUAUGCUCAGUUGGUAGAGCAGUUGACUUUUAAUCAAUUGGUCGCAGGUUCGAAUCCUGCACGACCCA